AUGGCCAGGCCAAGACAGCCGUUCCAGGCUUUGGUGAUCCUCCUCCUAGCGACGUGGUUCCUCCCGAGCUCCUCAGCCCAAGCCGUGCUCGCACUCCCACCACCACUAUCAGACACACUCUGCAUUCCCCGUGAGCGGGAUGCGCUUCUCGUGUUCAAGGCAAGCCUCACCGACCCGGGGAACUACCUCUGGUCGUGGCAGGGCGAGGACUGUUGCCGGUGGAAAGGCGUGGAGUGCAGCAACCGAACCAGCCACGUCGUCAAGCUCGAGCUCGACGGGUCUAACACCAUGGGCUGGCCUGUGGGAGGUGAGAUAAACCCCUCCUUGCUCUCUCGUUCAACGACUUCGGUGGCAACAUGGUUGUUACUCGUCUGA
rnacentral:rRNA from 1 species